rnacentral:rRNA from 1 species
AACGAACGCUGGCGGCGCGCCUAAUACAUGCAAGUCGAGCGAGAAGACGUAGCAAUACGUUUGUAAAGCGGCGAACGGGUGAGGAAUACAUGGGUAACCUACCCUCGAGUGGGGAAUAACUAGCCGAAAGGUUAGCUAAUACCGCGUACGCUCCUUGGACUUCGGUUCAGGGAGGAAAGCGAUACCGUGGGUAUCGCGCUCUUGGAUGGGCUCAUGUCCUAUCAGCUUGUUGGUGAGGAACGGCUCACCAAGGCUUCGACGGGUAGCUGGUCUGAGAGGACGAUCAGCCACACUGGCACUGCGACACGGGCCAGACUCCUACGGGAGCAGCAGUAAGG